UAACACGUAACUGACCUGUCCUCGAAACUGGGAUAACCAUUCGAAAGGAUGGCUAAUACUGGAUAAGCCCACGGGUUUGGACCUGAGGGAAAAGGCGCGGGAUUCUUCGGAACCGCGCAUUUGAGGAGGGGGUUGCGGCCCAUCAGCUAGUUGGCGGGGUAAAGCCCACCAAGGCGAAGACGGGUAGCUGGUCUGAGAGGAUGAUCAGCCACACUGGAACUGAGACACGGUCCAG
rnacentral:rRNA from 1 species